GCUUAUGGUUACACCGCUGGUUCCACGGUGAUCUCGUUUGAUCUCGGAAGCUAAGAUAGGUUGGGCCUGGUUAGUACUUUGAUGGGAGACCGCCUGGGAAUACCAGGUGCUGUAAGCU
rnacentral:rRNA from 1 species